rnacentral:rRNA from 1 species
AUGGCAGAGCAAUGCAAGAUUUCUGCUGCCAUGGUAUCUGAGCAAAGGUCAUAUGCGCGGUCAUACGUGCUCAAGGUAGAUGGAUACUCCAGAGCCAAGGCGUUUCUCGAGACCGGCAAGUGCCUUACCUCUGACCCUUUCAGUGUUGGAGGGCACGUCUGGACCGUGGAAUGUUACCCAAACGGUGACAAUAGGAUUCAUGCCCAUUACAUAUCCCUUUUCCUACGUCUUGAAUCUGCUGAUGCUGGAGAUGUGAAGGGGAAAUUCACGCUCAGUCUACUUGACAAGAAUGGAGAACCGGUGCCUUCAUACAGCCGUGCCUCCCCUGUACUAACCUUCUCAAAGAAAGAUUCAUGCUUGGGCUAUCCUGACUUCUUCCAGAAGGCUGAUCUGGAGCGAUCGGCACAUCUAAGAGACGACUGUAUCACCAUCAGGUGCGAUGUCACCGUCAUCCAUGGGGAAGAAACAAGGAUUCCUCCAAGCGACCUGCACCAGCACCUUGGUGACCUCCUCGAGAAUAAGGACGCAGCAGACCUAAUCUUUCAAGUCGGUGCACAGAGUUUCUCAGCCCACAGGUGUGUCCUCGCUGCUCGCUCAUCCGUCUUCAAGGUGGAGCUCCUUGGCACUAUGAAGGAGAGUUCUGCAGCUAAUCCUAUUGAAAUCUAUGACGUGGAAGCUGAUGUUUUCAAGUCCUUGCUUCACUUCAUAUACACUGACUCCGUUCCUCCAGUGCUUGAUGUGGUGAUGGCCAGCCAUCUACUCGUGGCGGCUGACAGGUACAACAUCGGCAGGCUGAAGCUGAUAUGUGAGGAGAAAUUGUGCACUCACAUCGAUUCCAACAUGGUGGCCACCAGUUUGGCUUUAGCAGAGCAGCAUGGUUUCCAUCGUCUCAAAGAGGCUUGUUUGCAAUUCCUUGCUUCUCCUUCCAAUUUCAAAGCUAUGAUGGCAAGCGACGGUUUUGAGCAUCUGACAUCCAGCUGCCCACAUGUUCUCAAGGAGCUUGUAGCUAGAAUCCUUCCGGCUGAAUGGGGGGUGCCAAAGGACGUUGUCAUGACAAUGUGGAAGUAG